rnacentral:rRNA from 1 species
AACGCGAAGAACCUUACCCAGGCUUGACAUGCAGAGGACGAUACCAGAAACGGUAUUUCCCUUCGGGGCUUCUGCACAGGUGCUGCAUGGCUGUCGUCAGCUCGUGCCGUGAGAUGUUGGGUUAAGUCCCGCAACGAGCGCAACCCUUGUCCUUAGUUGCCAUCAUUUAGUUGGGAACUCUAAGGAGACCGCCGGUGACAAACCGGAGGAAGGUGGGGAUGACGUCAAGUCAUCAUGGCCCUUAUGACCAGGGCUACACACGUGCUACAAUGGUAGGUACAAAGGGUUGCCAAGCCGCAAGGCGGAGCCAAUCCCAUAAAGCUUAUCGUAGUCCGGAUCGGAGUCUGCAACUCGACUCCGUGAAGUCGGAAUCGCUAGUAAUCGUAGAUCAGCAUUGCUACGGUGAAUACGUUCCCGGGCCUUGUACACACCGAGUAUA